UAAAGAUUUAUCCUGGACAUGUAUUUAUCUGACGGAAAUCGUGGUUAUAUCAGGACACGAUCUACUAUAAAUUAUUAAGAAAUGCUUUGUACAUUAACGCAGACUUCAAGCGAGAAACAAAACGAAGGGCAUCUAUUUAAAAUGAGACACUUAUCAAUUGUUGGAGGAUCUUUUGUGUUACUUCUGAUUUUUUCAUGUGUUCUGGAAGAACAUGGAGUGGAAGCACAACCCCAACACAGUGUAAAGCUACCCCAUUGUCAAAUACUAUGCGGACUACCACUAACAACAUCUGGAUGUAACACUUGUUGUAGAGGUACUAUUCGAAGAUACGACAUCGGAGAGUGCCAUUUUAACGCCUGUCAUUGUUGGCAUUGGUUAACCUAGAUAUCAUCAUAUAUAAUAAUCCAGACGUGACAUCAAUGAAAUAAAAUAAAGAAUGUAUUUGUCAA